rnacentral:lncRNA from 1 species
AUUGCUUCCCUGUUGAAGUGAAGAUAGAAAUGUUCCAUUCUGACCCACCUUUGAAAAACAAUUACUUUGCCCCAUGGAUUCUUUGUUCAAUUAGAAAUUUCCCCGGGGCAGGUGACCCAUAGUCUUAAAGAACAGGCUAAACACCACAGAGAGAUUGGUUGCUUUUUGCUUUUCAUCACCUGCAAGAUUUACAUAAAAAUCACAUAAGCUGGAAUUCAACAAAAGACCUCUGACUAUGUGAAGAUACGGUGGGAAGAUGACUGUCCACAAGACAGGAAGAGAGCCCUCACCGAGGAACCAAAUUGGCCAGUAUCUUGAUCUUGGAUUUCUCAGCCUCAAGAACCAUGAGAAAUGAAUGUCUGUUGUUCAAGCCACCCAGUCUAUGAAAAAGUUUGGAAACCUUCAUCUAGAAAGUGGUCUAGCAAAGUGUGGUCCAUGGAUGAGUUUGAUCUGCAAACUGCUUGUUAUUGGUUCAUGACAAGAAUUGGUUCCAAACAGUAAAGCCGCCAGAAAAAACAGACAAACUCUUAGGAACAAC